UGGCGGNAUGCCUUACACAUGCAAGUCGAACGGCAGCAUGAUCUAGCUUGCUAGAUUGAUGGCGAGUGGCGAACGGGUGAGUAAUACAUCGGAACGUGCCCUGUGGUGGGGGAUAACUAGUCGAAAGAUUAGUUAAUACCGCAUACGACCUGAGGGUGAAAGUGGGGGACCGCAAGGCCUCAUGCUAUAGGAGCGGCCGAUGUCUGAUUAGCUAGUUGGUGAGGUAAAGGCUCACCAAGGCGACGAUCAGUCUCUGGUCUGAGAGGACGAUCAGCCACACUGGGACUGAGACACGGUCCA
rnacentral:rRNA from 1 species